GAGAAUCCGAACGUGAUCAAGCAACUCUCACAAUUCUGGUUCAGGGCAAGGUCCAUGUGAAACCAGUAAGCAGAAGGCCUCAUCCAAUUGAGAUGCAACAUGGAUUCUAGAUAUCACGAAAGUUCGUUAAGGCAGUAAAUGUUGUUGUUCUGCUUAAAUUUUUACGGAAGACCAUUACAGAUCUAUCUGUUCCAUCGUGGUAUGAGAAGAAUUCUGUGGCUUUCAGCUGUUUGGGAGAUCAUUAAUAUUAAGAUUAUCGACCAUGUUGGCAUUCUUGCUUGCAGCAGCACUGUGGAUAGAUAGGUGAAAUAAUACAAUAUGUUAGCAUGAAACCAGAGUUGAACAGAAUCUUUGCAAUGACUUUGAAGUGCUGGAAUUUAUUAGAGCUCCUGCUUGUUAGCACUCUUCGGUUGCCAAUAUGACUGCCUUGGGAAGAAUAGGUUAUGGCUGAGUUACCUGAUGAGCAAGUCCAAGUGGCCUAUUAAUUGCAAAAACAAUAGUGAAGUCAUGAUAGUUGCAAACGAGAGAGAAGCCACGAUCCUAUCAUGGCAUUAAAAAAAGACUGCUGCAACGUAACCAGAAAAAAAUGAGCUUGGAGUCUGGAUAUUGUGCAAAUAUCUUUGUUUUUAGUGGAGAAAUGUCUAAUUUCUCUGCAUUUUCAAUGUGCAAUAAGGCUGAUUAAUGAAGCAACUGUGGCAUGAAUGAUGGCUGUAUUAUGCCUGGGACUUUAUAUAGCCACAGCACCAUCACAGCCUGGUGUCUAACACACAAGUUUCAAACCUGUAAAUUCCUUCUCAUGGAUUGCAGGCCUAAGUCUUUGCGUGUAGCACACCAAACUAUAAAUUUUCUACUAUUUCUCGGGGCUUUGUCCCCACGAGAGCACGGAGCAAAGGUUUCUUUUUUUUUUUUUUAAUCUUUUCUUUCAGGAAAGUCGAAGAUACGGAAGAUAGUCCCUCCCCUCUAUGCCUAGUUUUUAAUCAGGAAACCUCACCAUCAGGCCAAAGCUUUUGGCUGUUGCUACUGGUUCUGUAAAUAAAUGUAUAAUUAUUUUCUCGUUGGCAACCCUUCGGUAGAGUUUGUUUGGUAGAAAAUCAAUAUGUAUGCUUGGACGGAUUCUUAACUUACAAGCUAUUUCUUGUUUUGUCUAUAUGAUAUCACAUUGGACCGCUUCA